rnacentral:ncRNA from 1 species
ACUAUGGAGAGUACAAGAACCUAUGAGUAGAUACAAUAUAUUGAAAAUAUACUCGUUGAAAUAGUAA